rnacentral:rRNA from 1 species
UACCAGCUCUCCGAGUGGUGUGGAUGUUUAUUGGGCCUAAAGCAUCCGUAGCUGGCUGGGCAAGUCCCCUGUUAAAUCCACCGAUUCAAUCGUUGGAGUGCGGGGGAUACUGCUCGACUAGGGGACGGGAGAGGCAGACGGUAUUUUCGGGGUAGGGGUGAAAUCCUAUAAUCCCGGGAGGACCACCAGUGGCGAAGGCUGUCUGCUAGAACGUGCCCGACGGUGAGGGAUGAAAGCUGGGGGAGCGAACCGG